GUGCCAGCAGCCGCGGUAAUACGUAGGGUCCGAGCGUUGUCCGGAAUUAUUGGGCGUAAAGAGCUCGUAGGCGGUUUGUCGCGUCUGCUGUGAAAUCUGGAGGCUCAACCUCCAGCCUGCAGUGGGUACGGGCAGACUACAGUGCGGUAGGGGAGAACGGAAUUCCUGGUGUAGCGGUGGAAUGCGCAGAUAUCAGGAGGAACACCGAUGGCGAAGGCAGUUCUCUGGGCCGUAACUGACUCAUGAGGAGCGAAAGCGUGGGGAGCGAACAGGAUUAGAUACCCUGGUAGUCC
rnacentral:rRNA from 1 species